AUGCUCACUUCCUGGGGAGCCUCAACUACUUCUUCAUGUGGGCCCUCGAUUCUACAUGUUCAGAUCUGGCCUUUCUCCUGGGGUUCAUCAGACCUUUCUAACUCCAGGUGUUUCAACUACAUGGAAGAUGUGAAGAAUUCUGAGAAAACAGAGUCCCAUCAUCUGCAAAAUGAUGUUUCAUCAGCCUGGAGUUUUAUUUCUCUGCAAAAACUCUUAAGUCCCUGGAGCUGUUUUAAUCUUGCCUCAUUAAAAGUUAAUAUAAUUUGGAUUGGUGCUAUUCAUUUUGUAUCUGGACACCUCAUUUACCCAGCUCAGGCUGGGUUUCUGUACACCAAGCCCAUGUGGAAGUGCAUGUAUCCACCUUACCUUCAUUCAAGUUGCAGGCCCAGAUGGGAGUAAUCAAUAGCUGAUCGUUGAUAAAUGGUUAUCAUUACAGAGAAUACAGAUUCAAAUGUCAGCCAAAGAAUGGAUGCCAGCUAUUUGUUGUUACAUAAUUCAGGAAUGUCAGGAGGUAACACAGAGAGAUUGCUAUGCUGCGUUCAUUACCCAGCCCAGGGGAGGAGUGUUAAACAUUAAUAUUUGAGCUCUGAAAGUAUCAGAAACUUGAUGGCCAGGAAAACUUUGUAAAGGAAUGGGAGGAAGCUUA
ensembl:lncRNA